AUUCUUGUUCUGAUUUGGUUAUUCUAUCAUUGUUAUUGUUAUGUAUACUUUCAUUUCACUCUUCUCUCUAAUUCAUAUAUUCUUCACCAUAUAUAUAACAUCAUAGCUUUCAAUUCAAUUCAAUUCUUUGUUAGACAAAACAUCAAUUUCACCGUAUAGAUAACAUCAUAGCUUUCAAUUCUAUUAUGUGUUACAAAAAACAUGAAAUAAUAGAUUUCCAAAUUGUGUUUCUAUCUCAUUCAUAUAAGACUGUUUUCACCCAUUUUCCCAAUAAAAAGGGAAAAGGAAAAUAUCUACAAAAUGUCAAUACUAAUCUAUGUCACUCUCUUGCACUCCCUUAUUCAUACACCAUUGAAGCCUGAAGUUAUAUGCAAAAACACAUCUUCUCUGCAAGGAAUUGUGAGGCCACCCAUUGGAUGAUCAUAUCCAAAUUCUUCCUCUGCUUCGCUCAGCAACACUUGAAAUGAAGCUUGGUUCAAGUAUGACAUGGGGAUCACAAACCGCUUCAUUUCUUCUCCCACGUACACCGCAAGACAUCCCUUUGGCACAUUCCCUACUUUUGAUGAUGUUUGGCUGCUACUUAAUGAAGCACGUCUAAUAGCUGCAGGUAAACGGAAGCCCAUUUUAAAUGUUUCAAAUAACAAGCUUAAGCUCUGAAAUUUAUCUUAGUUUUGAUGCUUGAGUAUGUGAAUGAGCUGUGAUGGUUGGUUCUGAGGGAAGAUACUGUAUUUAUAGUCUUCAAGACUUUCUUCAAAUCCAUUUCUUUGAUAAAUUAUUGUUGUUAAAGGACGGGGUCCAUAAGAUGACGGAUCACCACAUGGUUUUGCCUUGGACGGUCAAAGGUUAUAUUAUAGCUUACCCCACCUUCUGAAUGAAAGGCCAGUAGAUAGACAACCCACUUGGUAGUCAAAUGAAAUGGCUAGAUUGAACUUAAUGCUUUGAUUUAUUAUGAAUACUCGUUUUUUGUUAGACACGCAUUCGACAUGUCACAUGUUUUCUUCAUAUUGAUAACACGGCUCAAUAUAAGUUCUGCUAUUGUGUGAAUUCUAAUAUAGAUAGAUAAUGCAUAGUUGGAUACAAAUCAUCAUAAAUGUAGGGACGCAACAGGGAACUUUCAUGGCUUGGUCAACAGUCAAAAUAUAUUAGCAGUACAUGUUUGAACCCACAAGUAGAAGACAUACUGGACCGAUAUUUUUUAAGUUCAACAGUCAUAAGUGUCACUGCCAAACUAGUCAAAGGUCUCCCCAUUUAAAACUGAUAAACUGUUAUGGCGCAUUUUAGAUGAGUUUCUAGCUUUAAACAACUGUGAUGACUUUUUCACUUUAAUUUAUGUUUGACUCUUAACUAACAUUCACUUUUAUGAAUAGUUGACGAGAAUUCAAAGUAAAGGGUUGUCGUUUGCCGUUGAUAAGUGGUAAGCCUAGACUCUAUUAUUUGAUGGGUUUAGCUUCCUGAUUUAGGCUCUAAUUAUAUAUGUCUCUAAUCUUAAUUAACAUAUGCUCUGUUCAGACUUUGUUUAGUCAUGGAAUUAAGCCCCCGAAACGUAUGAACUGCGCUUUUCACUCUCUUUACCAAAAGUAUAUUUUUAAUUUGAGUAUACUAAAUGUAGGGAGAGCUGCUAGGAACUCAGUAAAGGGUUGCCACUCAUUGCGUGCUUUCGGACAACAACUUCGACGACAAGUCCAUGUGAAGAGCACGAGAAGUCUUUGUGAUUGUGGUCCUUACCACAUUCUUCAAGCAUCACUAGUAAAAUGCAACAUAUUAUGUGAUCAGUUAUUGGUAUGUUUUUUCAUUUUAUUUCUACUGACUUGCUUCCAAAAUUCUAUAAUGUGACAAUCAAGUUAAAUAUCUUUCUAGGUUAAAGAAUGGUUUUUCCUAUAAAUUUUUUGUUUUGAGUUUUGUUGUAUCAUGUAUGGUGUGGUAAUAUAUACCACUUUUGAAUUACCAGAUCUAUUAGUAAUAAUAGUCCGUAUUUCUGUAAAAUUGGUACAUGGCUUGUGUUUAUGCCUGUAAUGAAAAUAUUUAAGAUGACACAAUAAACAACAUAUGAAUUGAAUUCACAAGAAUAUAGUUUGAUGAUAUUCUCAUUUCAGAUUUCCAUUUAAGAGGAAACAUAACAAAAUUCCUCAAGUACAAAAAUUGUCUCAACUAGUCAAUCCUACACUGUUCUAUGUUAUAAUACAAAUAUGACUUUUUCAUUCGGUAUGAAUUAAUUAUAGGCCGUUUAACCGAGAUGCUGUAUGUAAGAAGACAUCUUCCUUGCAGGGAAUAGUAAGACCGCCCAUUGCAUGAAAGUAACCAAAUUCCUCUUCAGCUUGACUAAGCAAUUCUUGAAAUAAAGGCUCGUUUAAGAAUGAUAUUGGAAUCAUGAACCUCCUCGCUUUCUCUCCAACAUACACUACGAGAUAGCCUUUUGGGACUGCCACUUCUUUGCUAGAUGAUUGGAUUGCACUAAAUGAUGAUCGUCUAAUACCAGGUAAGCGAAAACCCAUCCUUGUUUUGGUUUAUUGACAAUAGAAUGAUCUCAAAGUAGUAGAAGAAAGAAGUGAACUUGAUUUCUGAUGCUUCAAAGUAUGAAUGGUUUGUGUUACCGGUAAACUCAGUAAUGGAUAUAUAUAGAAAACCAAUUGUAUGGUGAAUGAGUUAUUGAAUGUGGUUUAGUGGAGCCAUGGCUCUUUAAUGAUCACAUGGCGCUGUCUUGAAGGCUUUCAUAGAGGACUGUAUGAAACGUGAGAUUACAUGCCCCACCUUUUGGAAAAUUAGUCUAUAAAAGAGACCUGAGAUAGCUAACUUAAUAUAUUUUAGACAAGCUCAAACACAUCAAAUAUCUUGCUCUGGUUUUUAUAAGACAAGUGAUAUCUGCCAGUACUUUAAAUCCAAUCAAUAAACAAUGAAAUAUUCUUGAAAAAUUAUGCAACUUUAUAUGGAUAGACCGCUGCCACAUAUUGACGUAGCCGUAUAAUCUGGCUGUAUAUUCACCUUCAACACAAGUAAAGAAUACCUGAUUUGGAUGAAGAUUUAAAUUUGAUCAACACAGCCUUUCUGUGGACAAGCUAUUGAUAUAAAUCAUACGUCAAAGCUGCUAGAAAACAAUUUGCUACAAUAGGAGGUUAGAGGUAUGCUGACAUGCUGAAAACAUAAGAAUCGUGUCAAUGCAUUGGCUUAAAAAUUAGUAGGUUUUCUUAUCUAUGUAGUCUAAUUUCAUUUUGUUAAUGGUCACCAUGUUAGAACAGCUUCUUAAUGUGGGACAUACAUGUAAUUACUCUCUCAAUUCUUAAGCAAAUUAUUCAAUCUUAGAGAAAGACCUCUAGACAGUAGCAUGUGAUCUGUUGUGAACCAUAGUCUGGCCCUUCAAGAACAAUAAAUAUGUGCAAUUUAUAAAUAGUGUUUGACUGAUAUUUCUCAUUAUUGUACAGAUCGUAUAUCAACAUUAAGCUGUGUUGUCAAUAGGAAGAGAACAUGUGCCAUGUCUGAUGCAUGUCUGAAAAUAAAUGAGUAGGCAUUGUACAAGUAUUGAGUUUAACAAGCACACAUCUCAUUUGAUUUUCAGUGGUUACGGUUUGCACUCUUGUUGAAUUUAUUGAUCCUUUAUAGAGGCAUAUAAAACAGAACCAUGUGAUCUAUUGUCUCAUGGGCCCCUUCAUUUUAACAAUAAUUUCUCAAACAAAUGGAUUUCAAGAUACUAUUGGAAACUAUAAAUGCACCAUCUUCCUUCACAACAUAACAAACCACUCAAGCAAACAAAUUUAGAUACACUUUUCUUAAAUCUGAGAAAUUCAGCUUAUUUUUCAAACCAUUAGAAGAUGGGUUUUCGAUUACCUUCUAUUAGACGUGCUUCUUUUACAGGUAGCCAAGCAUCGCCAAAAGCAUUGAAUGUGCCAAAAGGUUAUCUUGCAGUGUAUGUUGGAGAGAAAAUGAAGCGCUUUGUUAUCCCUACGUCUUACUUGAACCAACCUUCAUUUCAAUACUUGUUGGGUGAAGCAGAGGAAGAAUUCGGCUAUGAUCAUCCAAUGGGCGGCCUUACAAUUCCUUGCACACCAGAUGUUUUCUUGCAUAUUACUUCUCGCUUCAAUGGACUAUAAAUCUAGAGCUGCUAGAGACUGACAUUAGAUUAGCAGUGACAUUUUGUACAACAGUCACAAUUUAUAAUUAUAUAGAAUGUCCAUCUGAAUGACAAAUUCAGGAACAAAAUAUUUGUCAUUAUUUAUUUCUAAUCAUAAUGACAUAUUAUAUUCAACAACUGAAUGGGUUCCUAUAUAUUGUUUAUCACAAUUCAGUCCAAUCAGUAAUAUUUUACUUGUUUUGAAGGAGAAAAUACACCCAGAGAGAAAAUUUGAAACAUAUUGAACAUCAAACAAAUUGUUCUACAUUUAUUGGCCUAAUUAAUUAUCUAUCCAAACUAUAAUUGUAGAUAAACUACUUGUAUCUAAGUUCAAUUUUUUUUACAUGCGUCAUGAUUCUAUUCUAUCAACUGCUUCUUCCUCUAGGCAGAGCAAUGAACUGAAAAUAAGUUGCAGGAUAGUUAAAUGUUUGUUUUUUCUGUUGGGUGAAGUAGUUUGAUUACAACAACUCUGAUUAAGGGAAGCUAAGCCAGAGCCUAGUACUUGGGUUUAGCUGAUGGUCCAGCAAAACUUUGAAUUAUGUUAUUUAUAUUGACUUGAAAUUCAUGUUUAACUGCCAUUUUAUGUGUAGAUUAUGGUGGUNUAUGGCUGAACACAGAGAACUGGCAAUAGAAAUUCAUGAUUAAGGGAAUGAUUCCUCAGUUGCCAUGUUACAUAUCCAUUUAACUCAACAUCAUCAUAUAACUGCUAAGGUUAGUGAUUUUAUUCAAAAUGACUGAUGGAUUGUUCCUCACACUAUCAAGCGAGCUUACCCCGAUAUCACCCAGAUUUUGCAUGAUGCUAUCAUUCUUCAAUUUGAGUCGCAAGAUCAUUUAUAUGGAAGCAUUCCACUAAUGGAACUCCUACUUUUAGGUAUGCACAUCAAUUUUAUUUCCCUCCCCCUCAAGAGUUUUCUUGGGCCAAGCUUAUUUUGGAGGAUUGUUUACUACAAAUAGUUACUGCUGAAAAUCUGAUUAGCAAAGGUCUUUGUGUGGUUUUUCAAACUAUUAUACUGUUGAUGCUUUUAAGUGUCAGACUAGUCAAAGUUCUUCACUUAAAAUAAAUAAACAGACGUAAGUAGGCAAGAGAUCAUGGCCUAAUGUGGAUGAGUUUCUAGCUUUAAACAAAUUUGAAGACUAUUUGACUCUUGUUUUUUUUGGUUUAGGUUUGACUUUUAGCUAACAUUCAGUUUUAUUGAGGCUGCUAGGGAAUUCCAAAAGUAAAGGGUUUCCCGUUGCCGUUUGUUGGCAGUGUUAUAGGACAACAACUUUUGAACCAUCAUCAUAUGAAAGAGUAACAUGUAAGUUCAAAUGUGAUUAUAGUCACCCAACCACCUUUUCAAUAUUCCUGUUUUCAUUUCAUUUCAAUGCUACUGGCUUGCUUCAAAAUUCUAUAAUGUAAAACAAGUUGAACAAGCGAGAAGCUGUAAGAACACAUCUUCCGUUCGAGGAGUUGUAAGACCACCUAUUGAAUGACAGUAAUCGAAUUCCUCUUCAACUAGGCUUAGAAAUUCUUGAAAUAAAGGCUCGUUCCAGAGUGAAACUGGAAUCAAGUACCUUUUAAUUUUCGCCAUAAGAUAGUCUUUUGGUACUUCCACUUCUUUGCUUUAGUAGCACUAAUUGAUGAUCGUCUGCCAGGUAAGCGAACAACAAGUUCUUCAUCUAGACAGAGAAAUCACCUGAACAUAAGUUGCAAGAAAGUUAAAUGUUUGUUUUGUCUGUUAGUUGGCUACAUAAUAUAACUUCAAAGGCCCCGAGACGUUGUCUGAUCACAACAACUCCGUUUCAGCCGAUGAUCCAGCAAAACUGUGAAUUAUUUGUAGUUUUUCCUCAAUCUAAAUUAACUCAAUUACAAUCGGAAUCACCAAUUUGAUGGACAUUACAUAUCAAUUAGUGAUGAGGAUGCAAAUAAGUAAUUUUUUUCUUCUGUUGUGGUAUCUAUAUUGACUUGGAAUUCAUGUUUAACUGCUAUUUUGUUUGUAUCUAUAUGGCUAGACACAGAAAACUGGCAAUGGAAGACUUUUCAUUAUUGGGUCAAUAAGUGGUAAACCUGAAGUCUUUUAUUUGCUAAGUUUACCUUCUGUUUUAGGCUUUAAAUAACUACGUCUCCAGUAUUAAUUUAUAUUAGUUUGAUUAGAUUAAUUCACAAAAAACAACAGAUGAUUUCACAAGAGUAAAGUUUGGUUAGAUUCUCAUUUCAGAUUUCCACUUAAGAGGCAACAUCAAAAUUGACAAAGAAAUUCCUGAUGUACAAAAAUUGUCUCAACUAGUCAACCUACACUGUUCUAUGCUAACAUUCAUAUGAAUUUUUUGCGGUAUGAAUUAAUUAUAGGUUUAUCAAACGAGAAGUUGUAUGUAAGAAGAUAUCUUCCUUGCAUGGAAUUGUAAGACCACCCAUUGGAUGAGAGUAACCAAAUUCCUCUUCAGCUUGGCUAAGCAAUUCUUGAAAUAAAGGCUCGUUCAAGAAUGACACGGGAAUCAAGAACCUCUUCGCUUGCUCUCCGACAUAAACUGCAAGAUAGCCUUUUGGGACUUCCACUUGUUUGCUAGAUGAUGAUCGUCUAAUAGCAGGUAAGCGAAAACCCAUUCUUGUUUUGUUUCUUGACAAUAGAAUGAUCUCAAAGAAGUAGUAGAAGAAAUAAGUGAACUUGAAUUCUGAUGCUUCAAGGUAUGAGAAGAAUGGUUUGUGUUGCUUGGAAACCCAGUGAUGGAUAUAUAUAUAUAUAUAUAAAGUUCAUUCUAGCCUUAUGCGAAAGAUGGAGGCCAGAGACACACACAUUUUGGUUUCCAACCGGUGAGUGUACCGUGACGUUGGAAGACGUCUACAUGCUUUUAGGACUACGAAUUGAAGGCAAAACUGUUAAUGGUAAGACCAACUAUGCAAAUUCAAUUUGCAUGGAGCUUUUAGAAACUGAUUUGUUAGAUGAUAAUGCUAGAGGUCAAGGUAUACUACUCUUACGCCUAAAGUCAUAUUAUAAUAGUUUAUAUUUAGAUGAGCAUUCUACCGAAGAUGCUCGAAUAAUAAAAACUAGGUGUUACAUUAUGCUGUUAUUAGGUUCCUUUUUAUUUCCCGAAGGUAGUGGUUCUAGCAUGCAUAUUAUGUACUUACCUCUACUUAGACAUGUAGAAAGAAUAGGUAGUUACAGUUGGGGAUCCGCUUGUCUAGCCUAUCUCUAUAGUUCGUUGUGCAAAAAUUCCCACAAAGACACAUCUACAUUUUCUGGAUGUGCUGUGUUGCUACAAGCAUGAGGUUGGUCAAGACUAUCGUCUCUAGCACCGGUCAAUAACAACCCUUUCACUUUUCCAUAUGCAAAAAAGUAAGUUGUUUAAAUUGCUAUAUCUUUACUUACUUCCUUAAAGUUUAUUACCUCAAACUAAUUUUGUUUAACAUUUUGGUGUAGAUGGUCGGCACGUGGUAUGAGUUACAACAGAUGUCCGAGACACUGUAUUACUCAGUAUCGCAACCUGUUGGAUCACCUUCGACCGACAGACGUAAGCAAAAUAACUUCAUUAUUCUUCAUAAUUAUAUUCACUUUUCUACAUUCAUUUAAAAAUCCUAUGUCUUUAACAUUUUCAGUUCAUUUGGCGUCCAUACCUUAAUCUGGAUCAUGAGCAUGAGGUCAACGCAGAAGACGCAGCCGUAUGGACAGCAUGCACACCGAUAAUACGGUUCACAACUGUGGAGAUGCACAACACCGAUCGUGUGAAGCUGCAGUUUGGUAUGGUUCAGAAUAUCCCAGAUCCCCCAGUUAGUCUAGGAGAAUGGCAUAUGCGUAAAGUGAACGACCAAUGGAACUUCAACCCUUGGCAAACCUUCGCAAGAUCAGAGUGCCGCAAGUGGAAGCACCGUCAUGACCAUGUCUUAACUGACGCAGUCAUGCCAAAUGAGGUAAAACCAAUUCGUACUUAUAUGGCUUGGUACAGAUCGGUUGGUUUUCAAUUCAUCGCCGAUGAUAUGUACCUCUACGGCCCACGCCAGACAAGUUACACACAAGAAGGAUUAACAUCUAACCCCCAACAACAUUUUCAGCCCGGUUUCUCACAACCACCUAUCGUCAAACUUUCCGUUCCACAAACACACAAACAUACAACCAAAACAUGCUAUUCACCCAACCCCAAUACCAAGAACAUACCCCAUACCACCACCAACAAAUGGACCAUCAACCUCAGACCGACAUCGCUUCGCCCCCACACCAUCACCCUACCAAAGUCGCCUUAGCCAAAACACUAACCGCCUCUCCUCCUACCGUAGCCAAGAAGCCCAAACAUCACAAAACCAAAACAUCCCACAACCCUAUGUCUUCCAAACACCCCAACAACCUUUCCAACCUUUCCCAGACGCAUCAUUCACACCCAUGUCUCCCUUCAACCGUCCCGGUCGCCCAUCCAUGAGUCAACCACACCCCAACUUCUCUGGCAUGGGUCAUGAGCUCAGCUACGCCAGUACACCAUCAUUGAAUACUGAAGACUAUGCUGAGUUGGUUGAAUACCUCAACGGAUCUUCUCCUGUAGGAGGUAAUGACGCUUCUGGCCCCUCAGAUGAACAAACACCGGUGCAGAAUCGUCAACGUGGGUUAUGGCCAAGGGUUAGGGUAGCUAGGGGAUGUGGGACCGGAGGUCGGUUAGGUGAUCCCGGUCAUCACCAUUAGGAUUCUUUGUGUAAACUCCAAAUUUUAUUAAUAUCAAGUCGUAUUAUAUCAAAUUUAUCUUUGUGUAAACUCCAAACAUUAGGUUUCUUUGUCUAAACUCCAUUUUGGCAAAAUUCACAUACACAUGUUUUGACUGAAACCCUAAUUUUGGGUCAACUACCCAAGAACCUAACUCACUCAUUUUUUAUGAUUUUGAGGUGGGACAAAGUGCAUUGCAAAGUUUGAGAUGUCUACUUAAAUUGUUAUGUUGGACAAAAUUUCAUAAUUAAAAAAUAAACACAUGAUAAUACAAAACAUUAUAGGCCACAUAACAAUUGAAAUGUCAAAGAGUCCAAGUUCAGGUGCCCAUACCUUUCUAAAAAAAAAUGCAAAUGAUGCAAAAUUUUAGUCCAAAUUCAUUGUCUUGAAAAGAUCUACAACUUUUAUGUUUAAGGUUUUGUCAUUUGAGGCUUUUAUCAUUCAAACAGAAGGGCUUGAAGUUGGUCCCUUUUGGCAAAAUUCACAUACACAUGUUUUGACAGAAACCCUAAUUUUGGGUCAAGAUCGCAAGGACCUAACUCACUCAUUUUUAAUUAUUUUGAGGUGGGACCAAGUGCAUUGCAAAAUUUGAGAUGUCUAAUUCAAAUGUUAUGUUGGACAAAAUUUCAUAAUUCUAAAAGAAACACAUGCGAUAAUGCAAAACAUUAUAGGUCAGAUAACAGUUGAAAAACUCAGUAGUCCAACUUCAACUGCCCAUAACUUUCUAAAAAAAAAUUCAAAUGAUGCAAACUUUAUGUCCAAAUUCAUUGUCUUGAAAAGGUUUACAACUUUCAUGUUGGAGGUGUUCUCAUUUGAGGCUUUUUUAAGGGAGUCGCCAAUUGGAUUGGCGCCUCCUCUUAAAAAUUACACAUAGGUGCCAAUUGGAUUGGCUAGGGCACCUGCCCUAGCCAAUCCAAUUGGCGCCUCCCUUUAAGUUUUAAGAGGAGUCGCCAGUCCAAUUGGCGACACCUCCUAAAAGUGGGGUAGUUUGGGAAUUUUUUUGAAACGUGGGGUAUUUUGGGAAUUUUUUCGAAAAACUGGGUUAUCUCGGUAAAAAAACCUAUAUUCUCCACCUCCAUCAGUUAUGAGUAUCUUGAGUUAUUUUUAUUGCUAUUUCUCAUUUGUCACAUUGAACCUUUUUUAAAACAUACAACACUUCAGCCUUUGUCCGAUCUGAUCACCCAAAUGAAAAACAAGGAGAGUUUGUUGGACUUGCAAUGUUAUAUUAUGAGAUAAAUGAAUUCACAAAAAUUUAACAUAUCAAUUCACAAGAAUAUAAUUUGAUUAUGUUCUCAUUUCAGAUUUCCACUUAAGAGGAAACAUCAAAAUUGACAAAGAAAUUCCUGAUGUACAAAACUUGUCCCAACUAGUCAACCUACACUGUUCUAUGCUAACAUUCAUAUGAUUUUUUUGCAGUAUGAAUUAAUUAUAGGUUGUUCAAACGAGAAGUUGUAUGUAAGAAGAUAUCUUCCUUGCAUGGAAUUGUAAGACCACCCAUUGGAUGACAAUAACCAAAUUCCUCUUCGGCUUGGCUAAGCAAUUCUUGAAAUGAAGUCUCGUUCAAGAAUGAUACUGGAAUCAAGAACCUCUUCGCUUUCUCUCCAACAUAAACUGCAAGAUAGCCUUUUGGGACUUCCACUUCUUUGCUAGAUACUUGGCUUGCACUAAAUGAUGAUCGUCUAAUACCAGGUAAGUGAAAACCCAUUCUUGUUUUUGUUUCUUCACAAUAGAAUGAUCUCAAAGAAGUAGUAGAAGAAAGAAGUGAACUUGAUUUCUGAUGCUUCAAGGUAUGAGAUGAAUGGUUUGUGUUGCUUGGAAACCAAUGAUGGAUAUAUAUAGACUUUGAAAACCAAUUGUAUGGUGAAAGAGUUAUUGAAUGUGGUUUAGUGGGAGCCAUGGCUCAUUAAUGAUCACAUGGCACUGCGUUGAAAGCUGUCAUUAAAGGACUACACGAAAUGUGAGAUUACAUGCCCCACCUUUGGAAAUUUAUAGCCUGUGAAAGAGACUUGUUAUGGAUUGCUUCGUAUGUUAUAGACAAGUACUAAACAUAUCAAAUAUUUUGUUCACGUCUCUCUUAGACAAGUGAUGUCUACUCGUACUUGAAAUCCUGUCAAUAAACCAUGAAUACUUGCUGCAACUUUCUAUGGAUAGACUACUUCCAUAUUGUUGAUCUAACCAUCAAAUCAGACUGCAUAUUCACAGUACAUCCGCCUAGUAAAGAUGAACUGAUUAGACUGAAAUUUGGAAUUUGAUAAACAUACCCUUUUUGUGGGCAAGUUAUUCUAUACAUCAUAAGUCAUAGCUGCUAGAAAAAUAAUUUUCUAUAACAAGAGUUCGGAAAAAUUCACAGGAAUAUUCAAGCUGGAUAUUGCUUAAGCACGUAGCCUUCUUUCAAAGCAUGUUGCAAGUUUUCACUCUUCCAUUGAACUAGCAGGAUUUAGAUAAUGAUUUGAAAUGUGCCAUACUUUGUAUUCUUGCAACCUUUGAAAUGGCUGUGUUCCAAUUCUCUUAUUAUUUGUUAAAUCUUUUUCAAAUUUGAUGUAGACUUUUCAGUUGCAAGGUUAUUUACAUUGUAUACUCAGUUUUUGUAAUAUCAUAUAAAAUUAUAUUAAAUGAGAUUUGCUUCUUGUUUUUUAGUUGUUUUUCUUAUCUGCAUAUCACUUUUAUUUUCUGAAUGGUCACCACGUUGGCACAGCCUCUUAGUGUUGGUCAUACAUUUAAUUACUCUCUCAAUUCUUAAGCAAUCAUUCGAUCUUAGAGAAAGACCUCUAGACAGUAGCAUGUGAUCGGUUGUGAACCAUAGUCUGAUUAUCUCCAACUAGGCCCUUCAAGAACAAUAAAGAUCUGUAUGACUGAUAUUUCUCAUAAUUCUACAGGUCAUAUAUCAACAUUAAGCCGUGUUGUCAAUACGAAGAGAACAUGUGCCAUGUCUGAUGCAUGUCUGAAAAGAAACGAGUACUGUAAGGGAUAAAAGAAAAUAUACUGUCUAUCAAAUUUCCGUCCAAUCAGUCAUAUAUUACUAGUGUUGAAGGCGAAUGUACAGCCUGAGAGAAAGUUUGAAACAUAUUGAAGGAAGUGCUUAUCAUUAUUAAACCAAACAUCCAGUUUUUACACCUUUCUUAUGCUUCUGAUCAUACUUACUAAUGCUUUUAAGUAUCAGACUAUUUCAAUUGCUCAACUUAAAAGCGAUAAGGUAUACAGCAAUGAAUAAAAGGCCAACACGAAACACUUAGUCCUCUUUUAAACCAUUCCUCCUCUGCAUGGCUAUCGAAAUAAGAGUUUAUAAUAUCUAUAUUGACUUGAAAUUCAUGUUUAACUUGCUACUUAUGUGUAGAUUGUGGAUGGACACAGAACUUGCAAUGGAAGACUUUUCAUAAUUAGGUCAAUAAGUGAUAAGCCUGAACUCUAUUAUUUGAUAAGUUUAGCUUCUGUUUUAGUCUAUAAUGCUAAUUAAUAUAUGCUCACUGUGUUUUAUGAUUUUUUGUUUGAGUUUUGUUGUAUCAUGUAUGGCCUAUGGCCUUGCCAGUACCACCUUCGUACAUUACCAUAUCUAUAAAAUAAGUGCAUGACUUGUGUUUGUGAAUAGAAUGCAAGAAUUUAAGAUCACACAAAAAAUAACAGAUGAAUUCACAAGAAUAUAGUUUGAUUAGAUUCUCAUUUCAGAUUUCCACUUCUUAAUGAGGAAACAUCAAAAUGGAUAACAAAAUUCCGUAUGUACAAAUUUUUUCUCAACUAGUCAAUCCUACACUGUUCUAUGUUAUCAAGCUAAUGUGAAUUUUUUUGCAGCAUGAAUUAAUUAUAGGCUGUUCAAACUAGAAGUUGCAUGUAAGAAGACAUCUUCCUUGCAGGGAAUUGUAAGACCGCCCAUUGGAUGACAGUAACCAAAUUCCUCUUCGGCUUGGUUAAGCAAUUCUUGAAAUAAAGGCUCGUUCAAGAAUGAUACCGGAAUCAAGAACCUCCUUGCUUUCUCUCCAACAUACACUGCAAAAUGGCCUUUUGGAACUUCCACUUGUUUGCCAGAUGAUGAUCGUCUAAUACCAGGUAAGCGAAAACCCAUUCUUGUUUUUGUUUCUUGACAAAAGAAUUAUCUCAAAUGUUUAGUUGAAGAAAGAAGUGAACUAGAUUUCUGAUGAUUCAAAGUAUGAAUGGUUUGUGUUACUUGUAAACUCAAUAAUGGAUAUAUAUAGAAAACCAAUUAUAUGGAGAAUGAGUUACUGAAUGAGGUUUUGUGGGAGCCAUGGCUCAUUAAUGAUCACAUGGUACUGUCUUGAAGGCUUUCAUAGAGGACUACACGAAAUAUGAGAUCACAUACCCCACACCGUUUGGAAAAUUAGUGUAUGAAAGAGACCUCACAUAACUUAAUAUAUUUCAGACAAGCUCUAAAAACACAUCAAAUAUUUCUCGCAACCCAUUUUCAUUUUCUGAAUGGUUACAAUGUUGACACAGCUUUUUAAUGUGGGACAUGAAUUCAAUUACUCUGUCGAGUCUUAAGAAAUCACUCAUUUAAUCUUUGAGAAAGACCUCUAGACAGUAUCAUGUGAUCUCUUGUCAACAUUAAGCUGUGUUGUCAAUGUGAAGAGAACAUCAUGUGACAUGUCUAAUGCAUGUCUGAAACGAAAUGAGUAGGCAUUGUAGAAGCUAGCAUUGAGUUUAACAUAAGCCUUUCAUUCAGAAGGUUGGGUUUGCACUCUUGUCGAACGUAUUGAUCAUUAACAGAGGCAUCUAAGACAACACCAUGUGAUCUCUCAAAUUGUAGAAGCUAGCAUUGAGUUUAACAUAAGCCUUUCAUUCAGAAGGUUGGGUUUGCACUCUUGUCGAACGUAUUGAUCAUUAACAGAGGCAUCUAAGACAACACCAUGUGAUCUCUCAUCUCAUGCCCCCCAUCAUUUUAUCUCUGUUUUCUCUAGCAAAGGGAUUUCAAGAAAUUCUUGAAUACUAUAAAUAUACUGUCCUCCUUCACAACAAUCACAAAUCACUCAAGCAUUCACACUUAUAUACGUUUUUCUUACAUGUGAUAAAUUCAGCCGGUUCUUCAAAAUAUUUGAAAUUCCGUUUACUUGCAGCUAUUAGACGUGCUUCAUUUAGCAGCACCCAAACAUCAUCAAAAGUGUCCAAUGUGCCAAAGGGCUUUCUUUCAAUGUUGGAGAGCAAAUGAAGCGGUUUGUGAUUCCCAUGUCAUAUUUGAACUAAUUUUCAUCCAACGGGUGGCAUCACGAUUCCUUGCACAGAAGAGGUUUUCUUGCAUAUUACUUCUCGCAUCAAUGGACUGAAAAUCUAGGUAAUCUCACAUUCGUUCCACAUUCAAUUUGGGAGAGAAUGGCUUCCACAUUCUAUAUAUGCUAGUUAUUAGUUUUACAAAAUUCAUUCUGGCACUGAAGCAUCAGAAUUCAAGUUAUCACUUUUUCUUCUGCUACUUCUUUGAGACCAUUCUACUACGUAUAGAGCAUGUAUUAGAUUCUAAAACAGAAGUUAUACCCAUCAGAUAAUAGAAUUCAGAAUGUCUAUGCACGAUGACAAUUUGUUGGCAGAUAUUGAGGAUAUUUCUAACCACUUGGUUUUACGUUUCGAGGAAAUUUUCAAUACCGAUAACAAUUGCUUGGAUAAUAGUUUGUUUGAGGAAACCAUUCCAAGCCUUGUUAACGGAAGAAUUAUUUUGCUUGAUAUUAUUUCUUCUCAACAAAGAGGUUUUAUUAACGGAAGAAAUAUCACUGACGACAUUUGUCUUGCUUCUGAGGCUAUUAAUAGGCUUCAUCUUAGAUCUUUUGGAGGAACUAUUUUCAUGAAAAUUGACAAAUUAUCUAUUUUCCUUUAAAUGGUAAAGCUGCAUGUUUCUUUUCUUACAAGAGAGAGGUGACACAAGGGAAUCCCUUAUCUCCUCUUUUACUUUUAUCUUGCCAAAGAGGUCUUGAGUAGAGCAAUACUAAUCUGGAUGAUAACGGUUAUAGCUUUUAUGAUCAAUGGUCCAAGAGGAAUUUCUCUUGAGCUCUUCAUUCAUCGCUUCUUCUAUUGAUUCCUCCAUCUCGUGUGCUCUUAAGAUGAGAAUGGCUCAGGUAAAGGACAAUAGUAUUUGGAAGAUUAGCAAAAGUGUAUUGUGAAUUUCUUGUGUGAUUAUUGGAUUGAGGAUUCCUUGGCUGCCAAGUUACAUAUCCAUUUAAUUUACCAUCAUCUUUUAACUGCUAAGGUUAGUGAUUUUAUUCAAAAUGACAGACGGAUUGUUCCUCUCACACUAUCAAG
rnacentral:lncRNA from 1 species